GAUGAACGCUAGCGGCAGGCCUAACACAUGCAAGUCGAGGGAGAGGUUAUCUUCGGGUAACCAAAACCGGCGCACGGGUGCGUAACGCGUAUACAAUCUGCCUUUCACAUAGGGAUAGCCCGAAGAAAUUUGGAUUAAUACCUAAUGGUAUAUAAGAGCGGCAUCGUUUUUAUAUUAAAGCUACGGUGGUGAAAGAUGAGUAUGCGUUCUAUUAGCUAGUUGGAGAGGUAACGGCUCCCCAAGGCGACGAUAGAUAGGGGUUCUGAGAGGGAUGUCCCCCACACUGGUACUGAGAUACGGACCAGACUCCUACGGGAGGCAGCAGUGAGGAAUAUUGGACAAUGGUCGGAAGACUGAUCCAGCCAUGCCGCGUGCAGGAUGAAGGUCCUAUGGAUUGUAAACUGCUUUUGUAAGGGAAGAAUAAGGAGUACGUGUACUUUGAUGACGGUACCUUACGAAUAAGCAUCGGCUAACUCCGUGCCAGCAGCCGCGGUAAUACGGAGGAUGCGAGCGUUAUCCGGAAUCAUUGGGUUUAAAGGGUCCGUAGGCGGGCUGAUAAGUCAGAGGUGAAAGCGCUUAGCUCAACUAAGCAACUGCCUUUGAAACUGUCAGUCUUGAAUGAUUGUGAAGUAGUUGGAAUGUGUAGUGUAGCGGUGAAAUGCUUAGAUAUUACACAGAACACCGAUAGCGAAUGCAUAUUACUAACAAUUUAUUGACGCUGAUGGACGAAAGCGUGGGGAGCGAACAGG
rnacentral:rRNA from 1 species